rnacentral:rRNA from 1 species
UUGACGGGGCCCGCACAAGCGGUGGAGCAUGUGGUUUAAUUCGAAGCAACGCGAAGACCUUACCAGGCCUUGACAUGCUAGGGAACCGGGUGAAAGCCUGGGGUGCCCCGCGAGGGAGCCCUAGCACAGGUGCUGCAUGGCCGUCGUCAGCUCGUGCCGUGAGGUGUUGGGUUAAGUCCCGCAACGAGCGCAACCCCCGCCGUUAGUUGCCAGCGGUUCGGCCGGGCACUCUAACGGGACUGCCCGCGAAAGCGGGAGGAAGGAGGGGACGACGUCUGGUCAGCAUGGCCCUUACGGCCUGGGCGACACACGUGCUACAAUGCCCACUACAAAGCGAUGCCACCCGGCAACGGGGAGCUAAUCGCAAAAAGGUGGGCCCAGUUCGGACUGUAGGCUGCAACUCGCCUACAUGAAGUCGGAAUCGCUAGUAAUCGCGGAUCAGCACGCCGCGGUGAAUACGUUCCCGGGCCUU